rnacentral:rRNA from 1 species
AGCGAACGCUGGCGGCAGGCCUAACACAUGCAAGUCGAACGAACCUUUCGGGGUUAGUGGCGGACGGGUGAGUAACACGUGGGAACGUGCCUUUAGGUUCGGAAUAACUCAGGGAAACUUGUGCUAAUACCGAAUGUGCCCUUCGGGGGAAAGAUUUAUCGCCUUUAGAGCGGCCCGCGUCUGAUUAGCUAGUUGGUUGAGGUAAUGGCUCACCAAGGCGACGAUCAGUAGCUGGUCUGAGAGGAUGAUCAGCCACAUUGGGACUGAGACACGGCCCAAACUCCUACGGGAGGCAGCAGUGGGGAAUCUUGCGCAAUGGGCGAAAGCCUGACGCAGCCAUGCUGCGUGAAUGAUGAAGGUCUUAGGAUUGUAAAAUUCUUUCACCGGGGACGAUAAUGACGGUACCCGGAGAAGAAGCCCCGGCUAACUUCGU